AUUUCUUUACUGUCGUUUACUACAUAUCUAAAAUUGUUUCCAAUAUUCCAUCGAAAUGUUUUUUCAACUGUGCAAAUUGCUGUCUUGGGUCACGAUGGAGGACGUUAUGAUUCGCCAUUAAAAACAAUGAAAAUAAUUUUGGUGUAAUGGCUUUUAACCUAACAGCAUGGUUUUCCAGAAGAAUUUAAGGCAUUAAGUGAAAGGUAGGAGGGUAAUGAAAACUCCCCCUGCCAGCAUCCUCAGAGCUUCUCGUUAUUCUCCUCAAGGACAAACCACAUCACGUUCCUUGUGUCACCUCCACAGACAGGCCAUCCACAGACGGGAAAAUACACAUGGAACCUCUCCAUCCCUUCCUGACACAGGUGAUAGCCUGCUACUCACUCGUUCCUCCACCUGGACUCAUUGUCUUCAAAAAACAUCUCAGAAAUCAUUCCAUGCCAGUACAUAAAGAGCGAGCUGACUUUCUAAUAGCUCCAUAGUGUUCCAUUUUGUGGCUGUAUUGCAAUCUAUACAAUCGACAGACGCUGUUUCUACUCUUUUGCUAGUAAACUCCACCGCUUGCCUUUGGGUUAUUUCACAGGUGUGAGAAUAUGCAGGUAAAUAGGAGGAGGGGCUGAGUCCAAGGCUUUUCACCCAGCGAGUGUUGUGCUUCAAGGAGGCUGGACCAGUUCUCCAGUUCCAGCAACAACGAGGGUGGGUGGUCCCCCUCACCGCCAGGUGCUCUUCUGCCUCCUCCCCCAAUUACAAAGACCCUCAUGAUUACACUGGGCCCACCUGGACGAUGCAGGCUACAUAUGCUCGCUCUCUUAAGGUCAGCUGAUUUUUAGCAGCCUUCAUUCCAUUCCAUCUGUCACCUCACCUCCCCUCUGUGGUGUAACCUGACAUCUUCAUCUGCUCCGGGCAGUAGGUCAUGGACCUCUUUUGAGGGCCAUUAUUCUGCCAACUGCAGCCUCCCAGAGGAGGUGACACUUGGGCUGAGACCAGACGUGCCACGCACAGAGCCAGGGAAGGAGAGUUCUGACAUCAGGAGCAAUGAGUGGAUGGCUGAGGAGCCCAGCUAGAGAUGAAGGACAGACUACCUCUAGAUUCGUCUCUGAUGUGACGGUGGAGACAGGAGUCAAGGUGGUCCCCAGCCUGCCGAGCAGGACGCAGGACGCAGACCGAGAUGCUCCAACCCCCUCUGGACUUACGAGCUACAUGACGUGGACGCUCCAUCUCUGUGCCUGUUCGCUUUCUUCUCGACGCUGCACAAUGACCUCUGACAAAUAUUCUGAGAAUAUACCGAGAAGAGUCUACACCCAACGCCUGGAGGAGUUUGACGAUCCGCCUCAAUUCUUUCUUUCUAGCAGGCUCCAAACCAAUUUAAUCACCAACUUUCUCUUUUUUCGAGAACUAUGACUAUGAAGAUUCCAAUUGCAGAAAGGGACAAGUACAUAGGAAGGAAUGGCAAAGUGACAGAGGCUGUGCUGAGAUGAAGACACUACGGAAACAUUGUGUCUUGCCUUCUACUCUUCAUUUCCCGGCCCUACAUGCCUCCCGCACAUCAAGUGCCCAAUGAGUACAUGUUGAAUAAAUGUUCAAAAAUGGCGGAGACAAAUAUUAAACCUUACUGAGAUGUGAACUUUGUGUCUUGCAUGCAAACAAGGCCCUGAGUGUUUGUGAACGAACUUCAGUGAAGCCACCGUACUUCCUUUUUGACCUACAAAAUGCCUUUGACCUUCCCCACAAGUGAGAGCAAAUGAUGAACGUGAAAGAUGAUAUUUUAAAAACUCUGUAUUCAAUUAUUCACACCAAAGGAUAUCCAUUAAAAUUAUGAACAUCUCUAAAUAUAUUUCAUGUAUCAUACAUAUAUAUACUUUAUAUGUAUAAUUACAUAUCGACAAAAGAUUUCUGGCUGCUCUAAGCAUGUAAGUAAAACAAAGAUAGAUUUUGCAACGUAACACCCAUAUAUGCAUAUAUACCAGCUGUUUGAAUUAUGAAUUUAUUUACAACUUGCUUAGGUUAGAAUAAGUGAUUACUGUUCUAUUGUACAAACAUAACAGGUUAGGGUUUCUUUAAAUACAAAGACUGCAAAUGAAUACAUGAAAAAAUUACACACAUGUACAAUAUUUAUAAUUU
ensembl:lncRNA